GUCUUUUUGAGUUAUUUUUAAAGUCUGACCUGCCCACUGAAUUUUAAAUGGCCGCAGUAUUUUAACUGUGCAAAGGUAGCAUAAUCAUUAGUCUUUUAAUUGAAGGCUGGUAUGAACGGUUGGACGAGGUAUAAGCUGUUUCAUGUAGAUUUAUGAUAGAAUUUUAUAUUUUAGUUAAAAAGCUAAGAUGUAAUUAAAAGACGAGAAGACCCUAUAAAUCUUUAUAUUUUAUAUAGUUUGAAUUUUUUAGAUUUAUUUUAUUUUUAUUAUAUGAAAUAUUUUGUUGGGGUGAUAUUAAAAUUUAAUAAACUUUUAAUUAUUUUAGUUCAUUAAUUUAUGUUUUAUUGAUCCAUUAAUAGUGAUUAUAAGAUUAAGUUACUUUAGGGAUAACAGCGUAAUUUUUUUGGAGAGUUCAUAUCGAUAAAAAAGUUUGCGACCUCGAUGUUGGAUUAAGAUAUAAUUUUAGGUGUAGCUGCUUAAAUGUUAAGUCUGUUCGACUUUUAAAUUCUU
rnacentral:rRNA from 1 species